rnacentral:lncRNA from 1 species
GUGUUUAGUAGAAAGACAAUCCUUUUUUCUUCCAGUCAAUUUUUUCUUUGAUCUACAGAACUUGCUUCUUUUCUCUGAAGUUUUCACAAUACAGCAUGAUAGAAGGAGCACAGAGUGCCAGAGGCAGGGAAUUCCUAUGCUUCACUAGUGACUCAUAAGAAAACUUAAUAGAAGGUCUCUACUGCCUGCUGGCCCUGCAGUACCUGAUUGAUGUGGUCCCAAACUAAAGUAGGCUAACCUUCAUUGAACCAAGCACUUCAGAGCCAUGGGAAGAAGUAUGGGGGAAGGAGUCCUUGUACUCUGGCAAUGAGGAAAACAAACAUUAACAGUGCAAGACACAGUGAGAGUCACAGAUCCAUGGAUGGACGAUCCUUUUGAGGACAAUAGAGGGGGAAUUUGGAUAAGUUUCCUGAGUGAGAAACCUUCCAGAUGGCAAUCUGAAAGUUAGCUGUUCCUUCUCAAAACACAGAGCUUUCUCAAGAGAAAGAUAACACCCUCUUUCAUCAGAGCGAGCGAGCUUUCUUCAUGGUGGCAAUUUCCAGUCUCCAGUGCAAGGAGGGGAAACUGAAGGAGAAUAAGGCGGUUACAUUCAGUUAGAGCCUGAGAGCAGAAUUUGGUUAGGCUGAAGCAGCUGGAAACUGUGGAAUGUAAUACCAGAGAGGAGACUGCCACACAAAGAACUCUAAAAAUUUUGAUUUUCAGCAAACCUUCAGAAGGCAAAAGGGAAAGUUUUCCCAUGGGCCAACGUGGAUAUGUUUCUGUAAUAGUCUGCUCAGCCUUCUACAACAAGAUGUCGCAGACUGGGUGACUUAAACCAGGGAUCCUCAAACCCUGGCAAUGGAUCGGUACGGGUCAGUGGCCUGUUAGGAAUCAGGCCACGUAGCAGGAGCUCAUUCUAGGGGAAACCAGCUGCCAUAUUAAGAAAACAGUCCUAUGGAAAGGGCCAUGGAACAAAGAAGUGACUUCUGCCAACAACCUCAUGAGUGAACCUAGAAGUGGCUCAUCUAGUCCUGGUCAAAUCUUAUGGACUGUGGCUCCAACUGAUAGUGUGACUGUAACUUCAUAAGAGACGCUGAACCAGACCACCCAAUAAGACACUCCCAGAUUCCCUACUCUCAAAAGUUGUGUGAAAUAAUCACCCCCAGUUGUAUUAAACUGCUAAGUUUUGGGGUAGUGUGUUACACAGCAAUAAAUCAUAAAUACAACAUCCAAGCAAUAAAUUUCUAUGAUAAAUACAAAAAAAAAAAAAAAAA